UGGGAGCUUGCUCCCUGAUGUUAGCGGCGGACGGGUGAGUAACACGUGGGUAACCUGCCUGUAAGACUGGGAUAACUCCGGGAAACCGGGGCUAAUACCGGAUGCUUGUUUGAACCGCAUGGUUCAAACAUAAAAGGUGGCUUCGGCUACCACUUACAGAUGGACCCGCGGCGCAUUAGCUAGUUGGUGAGGUAAUGGCUCACCAAGGCAACGAUGCGUAGCCGACCUGAGAGGGUGAUCGGCCACACUGGGACUGAGACACGGCCCAGACUCCUACGGGAGGCAGCAGUAGGGAAUCUUCCGCAAUGGACGAAAGUCUGACGGAGCAACGCCGCGUGAGUGAUGAAGGUUUUCGGAUCGUAAAGCUCUGUUGUUAGGGAAGAACAAGUACCGUUCGAAUAGGGCGGUACCUUGACGGUACCUAACCAGAAAGCCACGGCUAACUACGUGCCAGCAGCCGCGGUAAUACGUAGGUGGCAAGCGUUGUCCGGAAUUAUUGGGCGUAAAGGGCUCGCAGGCGGUUCCUUAAGUCUGAUGUGAAAGCCCCCGGCUCAACCGGGGAGGGUCAUUGGAAACUGGGGAACUUGAGUGCAGAAGAGGAGAGUGGAAUUCCACGUGUAGCGGUGAAAUGCGUAGAGAUGUGGAGGAACACCAGUGGCGAAGGCGACUCUCUGGUCUGUAACUGACGCUGAGGAGCGAAAGCGUGGGGAGCGAACAGGAUUAGAUACCCUGGUAGUCCACGCCGUAAACGAUGAGUGCUAAGUGUUAGGGGGUUUCCGCCCCUUAGUGCUGCAGCUAACGCAUUAAGCACUCCGCCUGGGGAGUACGGUCGCAAGACUGAAACUCAAAGGAAUUGACGGGGGCCCGCA
rnacentral:rRNA from 1 species